CGAUGGCUCCAACUGGUUUUGGUUGCCGGCCUCCUCCGCCUGACCGUCUGAGCUCCUCCCCGCCUCAUUCCCCCGACCAAGGCUUUAUUGUGCCGCUGGCCUAGCUCCCCUCGCCGUGGCCGGAUGGUCAUCUCGGGGAUCAAGGAUUGGCGGUCGCUGGGUGGCCGGCCCGAAAUCUUCCCCUCCCGAUCGCUCCACCUGUCCUGGACUCCCUCUGGCUGGCGGCUGUGACGUGGGUGUCUGGCUCUGGCUCGGCGGCGUGGUGGGCUGUGGUGGUGCAGGCUUGCCAGUGAACGGUGCAGAGGGCAUGUCGCAGUCGUGGUGUUGCCACCAGCCCCACCAUGGCCCGCGCAGCCGGGGUCCGACGGCGAACGGCGGCGGGAGGACCACGGGCGCUCCCCGCAUCGGCCAUGCCUUCUCCUCCCUCCGUCUCAUAGGCUGUUGCGCGUUCGCAUUGCCCAUUGAGCUCCUCCUGGGCGGGGUCUGUGCAGGGAGGAGCAGCGCCGGGGCGUUCGCCUUGCGUCAGAGGGAGCUAGGCCGAGAGGUGCCACGGUCGCCGGGAGAAGGUCGUCAAUCGCCACCGACAUCGCUACCUUAGGCGGCCCUGUUGCGGAAUCCGCGCUGCUGGGAAUCGCGGCUUGGCCGAGGGUCGCCAUAUGCCUCGCGCUGGGAGCCGCCUUCUCCGGUCCGUCGCGCGCCGCCGUCUAAUGCGGCCCUAUAGCGGGAAGUCCGCGCCGCUUGGAUCCGCGGCUUUGCUGAGGGCCGCCGUGCGGCUCGCGCUGGGAGCCGCCUCCGCCGGUUUCUGGUGUCGCGACGCCUUCUCCUUGGGCUGAAGUGGCCGGGCCACGAGAAGCGAACCAAGGCAGCGGCGGGCGCUACCACCGUUCCUGGAGAGGAGACCAAGGACGGUGUAGGGAAUGGUUUUCACUGAGGGUGCUGUGGAGGGCUUGAGCGGAACCGUCGUUCAUGCUUCCUGCUACAACCCAUGUUCCAGAUUAGCAGAUUGCCGGCUCCUGUCACGAUUAAGAAACGCGAGUGUGCCACGAAGCAGUCAAUGUGAGAAAACUACAUCUUCGUGUCACCCGUGGCUCCACAGCAGCCCAGUCACAUGAGCUUCGCGGCGGCUCCACGAUCAUGUGGAGCACGACAUCGACAUGACAACCAGCCCGAUGACCACCGGUGCGCGAACUCCGGUGUUGGAGUGAGCUAAUUCGUCUUCUCGAGCUCACAGAUGGCUGCCUUUGAAAGCUGCAGGUCCGUUCUUAUCCAAUCUGGUCUACGAGUCCGUUGCUCCGGCAUGACUGUUUUCUAGGCUUUCCUUAAUUUUGCAGAUGUUUCACAACUUAGUAUUUGAAGAGCUUGAUAAUUGUAAGCAUUUUCCCUCGCAUAUUGCAAAGUAUUAGUGAUGUUCUACAUAGAGGGCUGCAGAGUAUGAUUGGGAUUGCUGUUGGAAAUCACAAAUAUCAGUUGACUAUCUCUUGCUACAAGUUCAUGAUAUUGAUAAAGGCUUCAGGCUUUUGACAUUUUAAUUCUUCUGUUGCAUUGUGAUAUCCCUUCAAAGAAACAAUUUAGGAGAUUUUUUUGGUUUCGUAAAAUUAUCUUCUUUGGCACUACAUGCAUCGGUUUUAUGUGAUCUGGUGUUCUUCCUAAAUCUAAUAAAGAAUUAGAAGUUGAUAACCUAGCAAAUUGGGUCCUGUAAGUUCAAUGCAUCUUUUUUCCCCACUAUCUCCCUUUUGUACUAUUCAUUUGUUUUCUUGCUUUAUGUUGACAGGUGAAUUGACCUAUUCGAAUCAGUAAUUGUGUAUUGUGAAAUAAUAUGAUGCCUACUUUAUUCAGAUUCCCCUCUGAAUCAUUCAUACAUCCACCAUUAUUUACUGAAUACCCCCAUAUACGUGCAGAUUGCAGUAGAUUAUGCACCUUCACCAUCCUCUGCUUUGUUGUUUUCUGUAUUUUAGUUCCUUUUUCUCUACAUUUUCCACUAGAAAUUGAAUCCUUUUGGGAAUUUUGUCGUUCUUUUUAGUCCUUGGUAUGCCACUCAAAUCUACACUGGAUAUUUUCAAUCACAUGUAGGACAGAAGAAAGACAUGAAACUUUUGCUGCUCAAAGACGCAUCGCCUCGAUCUUAUUAACGGAAGGUCCAUGUGCAUGUUUCAUAUAUCUGGGAAUGCAUAGAUCAGCAAACACACAACAAAACAUAUAUGAGCUAGAUUUCAUCGUUGUAGACCAUGAGGUAUUUAUUAAUAAACAUGAGCAUUACAUCUAUUUUCCCCAUUUACUUAUUAUUGGGUAUACAACACUGCUUCUACUUACACAUGGUACUAAACGAAUGAAAAACUUUGAUAGGGUAGUUUCACUUUGUCUGAUGAGUCUAUUUUACUUAUGAUUUCCCAUGGGAGGAGGAAUGGGUGAUACUUUUUUCUUUAGGGUAUGCAAAUAUGUAUAGAUUGCAGGUGUUUAGUUGAUGUUCUUCUGUUUGUUAGUAUAGAUAGAAGGAAUCAAGAGAAGACCCUUCGCAAAUUGCUCAUUCUGUUCAUCUGUGAAUAGUUACCAAACUGGGUGACCUGUCUUGACAUGCAUUUUUUUUAGCACCAUAUCCCAUUUAUAUGCAACACUCAGCUCAUUAGAGUUACCACUUCUCUUAGUGCCAUACUGAUUUUCUGUUCUUCUUAUCUCUUUUCCUGCUUUUUGUUGUUUUAUUUAAUUAAUUAUCAUUUUGUAGAGAAAAAGACUGACUACUGAGUAAAUGACAACAAGCUGCGAAAAUAAAGGGAUGUAUGAGAUAAAUUGUUUGCUGAAUGAAAUGACCCAAGUGCGCCCUAUUUAAGAACCUGGCAUUCCAUUAUGGGAUAAUUGGAAGAGAUAUUGUUCGUUGCAUAGAUCAGAUGAUGUAGGGAGUGGCAACAAGAUUGUUAUGUUUGGAAACAUAUUUUUGGGAUUAACAAUUUUCCUUGCAAUAGAAAGGGACGCUUCUCCAAAGUGUCUACAUAUAAGUGAUUUAUUGCAAGCAUGAUUAUUAUAUACUUGCAUCAAACUGCAGGUUUAAUACGAGAUUGGAGGAAAGUUAGCCAAAUCAAAGAUCAGGGAAUGUUUAUGAUGAUGUGCAUAUAUUGGUCCAUUUUUUUUAUGUCUCGGACUGGGAGGUAGAAAAUAUGUGUUUUAUCAAUAUAAUAUUGAUGUUCAGUAUGCUCGCAUGUUUAGUCACCUGGGACUUUCCAUUUCAUACAUUAAUUGCUGUUUUACAUAAAACUGACAUUUUAUCAUGAAAUGUGAUUUAGUCCAUAGAAACUUUGCUGACUUGCGUUUCUUCAUAUUUCAGUCUUUAUAUUGAAGCAAUUUAAAUACUUGCGUACUUUUUUUAGUCAAAGAAUUUCCUUUUACACAUGCUGGAAUGGAGUAUAUAUGUUUUACUAUGGUUGUGGAUUUAGUGCAUUUAGAUUUGCGAAUUAAAAGCCACGUAUUCAUUUUACCUCUCUGUAUCCUUGCUUGCAUUAUUCCUGUUUUAACAUCUGAGUCAAUGCUUAAUGGGCAGACCUAUGCUUGUGAUUGCAUUUUACUUGAGAGCUUCGAUUUCCAAUGAGAUUAAAAUAUAGAUUUUACUGUACCAUCUAGGGUUUUUGUUCCUUCCCCAUGUAAAGAUAGAUCCUUGCAAAGACUUGGGCAUCAGGUACUACCUCCAUUGCUAUUUUGAAUUUUUUGAUAAAAUAAUCAUGGAUGCUAAUAUAUUUGUCCUCAACAUAAGGCUUGCAUUACUGGUCAUAUUUGUAAAUUUCAUGUUUUUUUACUUCAUUGAGACACUGGUUCAAUUUGUUAUUUCGUGAUAGCAAUGGAUAAUCUGAAGUUUCGUGAUUUUUUAUUAAUUUUCUCUUCCAAAUGCAUUUCUGCAAACAACAUCACAGGAUAGUUGCCCUCAUCUUUUUGUAGGUUGAGAAAUAUGAAAGGUUUGUAAGUCUUUUUCACGUUUGAUUAGUUUGUUUAUUCUUGUAGUGAUAUGUCUUGAUUUUGACGAAUGGAUAAUUUUGGGGCCUCCACUUAUGUUCGUCAGGCACAUGUUAAUAUGAUAAUAUCAGCUAGGUGUGAAUAGCAAGUGCAUAUGUUUUGCUGUCAAGUUUGUUCUACUCUGUCAUUAUAGUUAUGCAUUAUGUCAGGUGUUUUCCCUCGGGUUCUGAACCUGUCAAACUAAUGGAAUCAUGGUCUACAACCAACAUUUUUUUGAACAUCAAGAGGAAGGAGAGUUAAUUGAGCUUCUCGCUUAUAGUUUGAAGAGAUCAAUGCUCAGACUUCUGGAGGAAGAGUAAGGGGCCUGCUUGCAUUGUUGGGGCCUCCUAUCAAUGUUGGAGAUCUACAUUCUUUUCCCUAAGUUACAUUGAGUUGAAAACAGGAGGAUAUUUCUGAAUCGGUACUACGUAAACAUGAGCCAUAUAUGCAUGUAAAGAAGACAUGAUGAGCUGCAUCAAGUCAUCGCCAUGUUCACCAGAGCUGUUUCACAGGCUGCUGUAAAGACUCCAUGCAAGUAAAUGAAACUACUUUAUCACACAGUCAAUCCGUUA